AGAGCGAACGCUGGCGGCAGGCCUAAUACAUGCAAGUCGAGCGGCCACUUCGGUGGCAGCGGCGGACGGGUGAGUAACGCGUGGGAAUGUGCCCUUUGGUACGGAACAACUGAGGGAAACUUCAGCUAAUACCGUAUGUGCCCUUCGGGGGAAAGAUUUAUUGCCAUUGGAGCAGCCCGCGUUGGAUUAGCUAGUUGGUGGGGUAAAGCCCACAAGGCGACGAUCCAUAGCUGGUCUGAGAGGAUGAUCAGCCACACUGGGACUGAGACACGGCCCAGACUCCUACGGGAGGCAGCAGUAGGGAAUCUGCGCAAUGGGCGAAAGCCUGACGCAGCCAUGCCGCGUGAAUGAUGAAGGUCUUAGGAUUGUAAAAUUCUUUCACCGGGAAGAUAAUGACGUACCCGGAGAAGAAGCCCGGCUAACUCGUGCCAGCAGCCGC
rnacentral:rRNA from 1 species